CUCUGCUCUUCGAGUUGGUCACGUGGUGGAACUGUUUUUUUCAAGAUGGAAGGACAACGGCAGCCAUCGCAUGUCCCACUUUGCCGUAAUUUUAACACCCGGCGAGGUUGCAAGUUCGGGAAGAGAUGUCGGUUUUAUCAUCCGAGAGAUUUCAGAGAAAGGCGGGACAGGCCAUGUAUAGUAGACCCGGCAGCGGAGAUGGCGUUGCAUCCGGCCCCUCGUCCACAGUUCCCGGAGACCGAAGAACAGUUAACCGUUGCGAGUUCCGACAGUCCCAACAACAAAGGUACAAGUGAACGAGAAUUGAUCACCACGGAUGAAGAGCGAUUACGAAGGCUGCAUGACGCAAUUCGCACGGGACGUAAGAUUAGAUGGCACGCUAGAGAUACCGGGCCCGAGAGUUAGGACGAGGGAGACGAUUAUGAGCCAAAGGCCAAGAGAGCCCUAACUGUGCAGCCUCGCUGCGAUAAUACACUGCAGCAAAACCCAGCGAGUAAUCAACCACAGCAGCAGGACACACAACAAGUGCAUGCACCGGAAACACUACAGCAGGAGCCAGAACCGACAGAUCUAACGCAUCUGCAUGAUCUAUACAUCCAGCAACAGCAGUAUCCAUUUAGGUUCGGCUUCCCCCCACCAGUACCGGCGUGGCACGUGAUCAGCUACGAAGAGCCCAUGGAUGAGUCAUGAUAACCAGGUGUCAAGAGUAUUGUCUUUAUAGUGCUAUCUCUUCUGGUUUUUUUGUCCAUAUAAAUGGGGUUAUGGACCCUUCAGCACGUCGUGCGCGAGAAGCUUCAUUUUGUUAAGUAUUGUGAAGUAUUGACUGAAAAAAAUAAGUUUU